rnacentral:rRNA from 1 species
UACGGAGGGUGCAAGCGUUAAUCGGAAUUACUGGGCGUAAAGCGCACGCAGGUGGCUGAGUCAGUCGAUUGUGAAAGCCCUGGGCUUAACCUGGGAAUUGCAGUCGAUACUACUCAGCUAGAGUAUGGGAGAGGGUAGUGGAAUUCCCGGUGUAGCGGUGAAAUGCGUAGAUAUCGGGAGGAACAUCAGUGGCGAAGGCGGCUACCUGGCCCAAUACUGACACUCAGGUGCGACAGCGUGGGAGCAACAGGAUA